GGGAGCUCAAACGCCUCAAGGUGCUGCGGCUCAAGAGCAACCUAAGCAAGCUGCCACAGGUGGUCACAGAUGUGGGCGUGCACCUGCAGAAGCUGUCCAUCAACAAUGAGGGCACCAAGCUCAUCGUCCUCAACAGCCUCAAGAAGAUGGCGAACCUGACUGAGCUGGAGCUGAUCCGCUGUGACCUGGAGCGCAUCCCCCACUCCAUCUUCAGCCUCCACAACCUGCAGGAGAUUGACCUCAAGGACAACAACCUCAAGACCAUCGAGGAGAUCAUCAGCUUCCAGCACCUGCACCGCCUCACCUGCCUUAAGCUGUGGUACAACCACAUCGCCUACAUCCCCAUCCAGAUCGGCAACCUCACCAACCUGGAGCGCCUCUACCUGAACCGCAACAAGAUCGAGAAGAUCCCCACCCAGCUCUUCUACUGCCGCAAGCUGCGCUACCUGGACCUCAGCCACAACAACCUGACCUUCCUCCCUGCCGACAUCGGCCUCCUGCAGAACCUCCAGAACCUAGCCAUCACGGCCAACCGGAUCGAGACGCUCCCUCCGGAGCUCUUCCAGUGCCGGAAGCUGCGGGCCCUGCACCUGGGCAACAACGUGCUGCAGUCACUGCCCUCCAGGGUGGGCGAGCUGACCAACCUGACGCAGAUCGAGCUGCGGGGCAACCGGCUGGAGUGCCUGCCUGUGGAGCUGGGCGAGUGCCCACUGCUCAAGCGCAGCGGCUUGGUGGUGGAGGAGGACCUGUUCAACACACUGCCACCCGAGGUGAAGGAGCGGCUGUGGAGGGCUGACAAGGAGCAGGCCUGAGCGAGGCCGGCCCAGCACAGCAAGCAGCAGGACCGCUGCCCAGUCCUCAGGCCCGGAGGGGCAGGCCUAGCUUCUCCCAGAACUCCCGGACAGCCAGGACAGCCUCGUGGCUGGGCAGGAGCCUGGGGCCGCUUGUGAGUCAGGCCAGAGCGAGAGGACAGUAUCUGUGGGGCUGGCCCCUUUUCUCCCUCUGAGACUCACGUCCCCCAGGGCAAGUGCUUGUGGAGGAGAGCAAGUCUCAAGAGCGCAGUAUUUGGAUAAUCAGGGUCUCCUCCCUGGAGGCCAGCUCUGCCCCAGGGGCUGAGCUGCCACCAGAGGUCCUGGGACCCUCACUUUAGUUCUUGGUAUUUAUUUUUCUCCAUCUCCCACCUCCUUCAUCCAGAUAACUUAUACAUUCCCAAGAAAGUUCAGCCCAGAUGGAAGGUGUUCAGGGAAAGGUGGGCUGCCUUUUCCCCUUGUCCUUAUUUAGCGAUGCCGCCGGGCAUUUAACACCCACCUGGACUUCAGCAGAGUGGUCCGGGGCGAACCAGCCAUGGGACGGUCACCCAGCAGUGCCGGGCUGGG
rnacentral:lncRNA from 1 species